rnacentral:lncRNA from 1 species
UGAUGAUUUGGAACAUUUGUAUCAACAUCACCUGACAAAUGUGGAUGAUGUGACUGGGAAGAAAUGUAACACCUGAAGAAAAAUCUUUCUGUUGUUUGAACAUGGAGAUCAAGGUUUAAAAAAGCAAACGAACAAAAAGCCCAUAACUAAGUUUCUGCUUCCAAAAUAGCUAUUGGAAAUGUUUAACUUUUUUUGGAAGCAUCCUGUGCAUUGGAACCUGUCAUUCUCUGUCGCUUCAAAAUGAACAGUCUUGUGGAAAGCUAACUUCUAAUGAAAAUUUGUCCUAUAAACUACAUGUGAAAUCAAAAAAAUAAAAUCUGUUUUUCUAUAUCAGUCAGGCUUCAAAUCACUCCUGUUUUCAGAUGUUCAUUCAGGAGAUUAGUGUGAUUUACAGGAAAAUUUUAAAAAGUACUUCAAAAUAACUGAAAUGGAGCUUUCUGACUAGGGAAGUUUGCUCUCAUGAUAAAGAGUAUAUUAAGGACAAUAAGCAAUUCUUCUCUAUCGCAAGAUGCUUCCUAGCAUGUAGGCUACAUCUUGAGAUAUGCUCCUGGAUAAUUUUCUCAAAGAGCUUCCCCAGGACCAAGGACCACCAUAGAAGAAUCCAUUCACGUGGUAUGGUAGGACUGAAUUUAAUUUUCAGUUAUGGACUAUGAUCUAAACUAAACACACUGCAUACUUCCAUUAUCGACCACACAGUCUCCACUGAUGUUAAUGGAAAAUAUGUACAAAGAUCAAGCAUAGAAAAUACCUUAAUUU